CGACCCCAGGUCAGGCGAGAG
rnacentral:rRNA from 1 species